UGGUCAAUUCCUGUAUUUCCCACUGUGUUUUUUUUUUUCCUAUUUCAUGUUCAUUGGUGUUUACUUUUGGCUCCUUUCACUUUAUUGUUUUGUUUUCUCAAUCUUCUCUAAGUGCAGAUAUUUCCUCUAAUUUUGCUAGUGUUUUAUUUUUUUAUUUUGACGUUAAUUUUUGUUUGGCUUUCAAUUAUUAAAAAAUAAAUAAAUAAAUAAAAAUCACACUUUUUCCCACAUGAUGUCGUUUUAUGUUUAUUGUUUGAUGGUGCAGCUAGAGUUCACAUCAUCUUGCACCUCAAACUUACUUGUAGCAUUAUCGCCUUCCUCUACUCCAUAAUUGACGACAAGGAAGCCACAAAAACUGAUUCUCUGAAUUGCAGUGUCAUUUCAAUCUUGUCAUUUGCAGUCUUGGAGGAAAGGAAAUUCAAAAAGACAAUUGUUCUUAUAUAUUUGGAAACGUGAAUGACAAAAUGUCAAGAUGAAAAGGAUACAAAGAGGUAAGAAUCUUGUGUUAUGUGUUUCCAUGAUUGAACCUAAAAUGUAUAUGUUAUUCUUGUAAAUGAUGACUGGACCUUGGUUAUGCAAGAAGAGACAUUUGCACCCGUUGCAUAUUUGGAAUCAGUGAGGCUACUGCUUGUUGUUGGUUGUCAUACCAAAUGGACGU
rnacentral:lncRNA from 1 species